rnacentral:rRNA from 1 species
AUGAAUGACAAACUACCUCCGAUCAUGUCCUGGAACGUGCGCGGGCUGAACCACCCUGCUAAGCGCGCCUCUGUCCGCGAAAUUGCAGUAGCAAAUCAAAUAGCGAUCCUGUGCCUACAAGAAACGAAGAUCGACGCUUGGUCUCCUAGCCUAGUACGAGAAAUUGGCGGCACCUCGCUGACUGGCUGCAUCGCCCUGCCGGCGAUUGGCACCAGCGGUGGAGCGGCAAUCCUCUGGGAC